GACGAACCGUGCAAACGUUAUUCGGAAUCACUGGGCAUAAAGAGCGCGCAGGCGGUCGAUUAAGUCGAAUGUGAAAGCCCCCGGCUCAACUGGGGAGGGUCAUUCGAUACUGAUCGACUUGAAGGCAGGAGAGAGAAGUGGAAUUCCCGGUGUAGUGGUGAAAUGCGUAGAUAUCGGGAGGAACACCAGCGGCGAAGGCGACUUCUUGGCCUGUUCUUGACGCUGAGGCGCGAAAGCUGGGGGAGCAAACGGG
rnacentral:rRNA from 1 species